AACGAACGCUAGCGGUAGGCCUAACACAUGCAAGUCGAACGGGCAUAUAGCUUGGCUUGCCAAGUUGUAUGUCAGUGGCAGACGGGUGAGUAAUACAUAGGAAUCUACCUGACAGUAAGGAUAGUCACUAGAAAUGGUGAGUAAUACCAUAUACGCCCUGAGGGGAAAGAUUUAUCGCUGUCAGAUGAGCCUAUGUUGGAUUAGCUAGUUGGUGAGGUAAAUGCUCACCAAGGCAACGAUCCAUAGCUGGCCUGAGAGGGUGAACAGCCACACUGGAACUGAGAUACGGUCCAGACUCCUACGGGAGGCAGCAGUGGGGAAUAUUGGGCAAUGGGCG
rnacentral:rRNA from 1 species